CCAUGAGUCACUGUGUCAUGGUAGUGUGUGUAUGUAUGUAUGUAUAUGUGUGUGUGUAUAUAUAUAUAUAUAUAUAUAUAUAUAUUCAUAAACACACACACACUACCGUGGCACAGUGACUUAUCG